rnacentral:rRNA from 1 species
AUACGGAGGGUGCGAGCGUUGUUCGGAAUCACUGGGCGUAAAGGGCGCGCAGGCGGUCUGUCAAGUCAGAUGUGAAAGCCCACGGCUCAACCGUGGACGUGCAUCUGAAACUGGCAGACUCGAGUACCGGAGGGGCAAGUGGAAUUCCCGGUGUAGAGGUGAAAUUCGUAGAUAUCGGGAGGAAUACCGGAGGCGAAGGCGACUUUCUGGACGGAUACUGACGCUGAGGCGCGAAAGCGUGGGGAGCGAGCAGGAUUAGAAACCCUAGUAGUCC